GACGAACGCUGGCGGCGUGCUUAACACAUGCAAGUCGAACGCUGAAGCUUGGUGCUUGCACUGGGUGGAUGAGUGGCGAACGGGUGAGUAAUACGUGAGUAACCUGCCCUUGACUCUGGGAUAAGCCUGGGAAACUGGGUCUAAUACUGGAUACGACAUGUCACCGCAUGGUGGUGUGUGGAAAGGGUUUUACUGGUUUUGGAUGGGCUCACGGCCUAUCAGCUUGUUGGUGGGGUAAUGGCUCACCAAGGCGACGACGGGUAGCCGGCCUGAGAGGGUGACCGGCCACACUGGGACUGAGACACGGCCCAGAAUCCUACGGGAGGCAGCAGUGGGGAAUAUUGCACAAUGGGCGGAAGCCUGAUGCAGCGACGCCGCGUGAGGGAUGACGGCCUUCGGGUUGUAAACCUCUUUCAGCACGGAAGAAGCGAAAGUGACGGUACGUGCAGAAGAAGCGCCGGCUAACUACGUG
rnacentral:rRNA from 1 species